AUUGAACGCUGGCGGCAUGCCUUACACAUGCAAGUCGAACGGCAGCACGGGUGCUUGCACCUGGUGGCGAGUGGCGAACGGGUGAGUAAUACAUCGGAACGUACCUUAUCGUGGGGGAUAACGCAGCGAAAGCUGUGCUAAUACCGCAUACGCCCUGAGGGGGAAAGCGGGGGAUCGAAAGACCUCGCGCGAUUAGAGCGGCCGAUGCCUGAUUAGCUUGUUGGUGGGGUAAAAGCCCACCAAGGCGACGAUCAGUAGCUGAUCUGAGAGGACGAUCAGCCACACUGGGACUGAGACACGGCCCAGACUCCUACGGGAGGCAGCAGUGGGUAAUUUUGGACAAUGGGGGCAACCCUGAUCCAGCAAUGCCGCGUGAGUGAAGAAGGCCUUCGGGUUGUAAAGCUCUUUUGUCAGGGAAGAAACACCGGCUCUAACACAGUCCGGGAAUGACGGUACCUGAAGAAUAAGCACCGGCUAACUACGUGCCAGCCGCCGCGGUAA
rnacentral:rRNA from 1 species